ensembl:lncRNA
AUAUGACUGUAGAGGCUGAACCUUACCAACAUCCCGCUGGGGCAGUCUGACAGAAUGGCAUCUGACACGGGAGUACAAAUGAAGUAAAGAUGUGUCACUGAAUUCCUCCAUGCAGAAAAAAUGGCACUCACUGGCAUUCACUGAGGCUCGCUGAACAUUGAUGGAGACUGAACAGUGGAUGUGAGUACAAAGAGGUGGUGGGUAGUUCCACAGUGGUGACCAUGAUGUGAAAGAUAAGUCCUGUUCUGAACAGCCAUGCACAACUGUCACACCAUGAAAUGAAGAGCAUCUCAAUCAGCUCAUCUGUGUGAACCAGCGGAUUAUGACCAGGGAAUCAUGCCUGGAGUAGAAUAUCAGUUUUGAUGUGCUGGAAGUGAUGGUGGCAGUGCUGGAAUGUCACAGAGUUUGUGCCAGGUGGAUCCCACAGACGCUCACACAGGAGCAGAAAGAACACUGUGUGCAAGUUUGUCAGGACCUAUUGAACCAACACAGUGCUCAAGGUGACAGUUUCCCGGAUCCCAUCGUUUCUGCUGACAGGACGUGGUGUCACCACAAUGAGACAGUAUCUAAACAGCAGUCCGUGGAGUGGGGUGAUGUGAGUUCCUCACCAAAGAAAAAUUCAAGGCACAGCUUCCAGCUGAUUAAGUGACGUGCACUGUCUUUUGGAAUAGAAAAGAGGUGAUACUGGAUUUCCUGGAAUGUGGACAAGCUAUAAACUAGACAACUACAUCAUGACACUGACUAAGCUGAAGGCAUAAACUUCCGGAGUUAGGCCAGAGAAGAACAUAACCUUCACCUUACAACAUGAUAACACCAGGCCUCAUACAGUUUGAAGACUGUGGAGUACAUUGCCAGUCUUGGCUUGACUGAACAACCACUGCCACGGUAUUGUCCAGAUUUGGUGCCUUCUGAUUUCUAUAUGUUUGAACUUAUGAGACGGAUUGUAUAGACAACAUUUUCCUAGCAGUGAUACCAUCAUAGCAACUGCAAGACAGUGGGUCACCUCCACUGGUGCAAAUUUUUACAAGCGUGGCAUGCAAUUUCUUGUUGAUCGCUGGAGAAAAUGCAUAGCUAAUGGUGACUGUGUUGAAAAAUAGUGGAGAAUUUUCUCUAUGAAAUAGUGCUACUGUGCUCUUUGGAUGUGUUGUAGUUUCCAUGGAAAUAAAUAAGAGGCAUUACUUUCAGAGCAACCUACAUGCAAGUACAAAUGACUUCCAAAGUAAAUGCAUACUAAUAAAAAGGAAUAGC